rnacentral:misc_RNA from 1 species
UACGGAGGGUGCAAGCGUUGUCCGGAUUUAUUGGGUUUAAAGGGUGCGUAGGCGGGUCUUUAAGUCAGUGGUGAAAGCCCAUAGCUCAACUAUGGAACUGCCAUUGAUACUGGGGACCUUGAAUUCAGUUGAGGUAGGCGGAAUUGAUGGUGUAGCGGUGAAAUGCAUAGAUACCAUCAGGAACACCGAUUGCGAAGGCAGCUUACUGGACUUGAAUUGACGCUGAGGCACGAAAGCGUGGGGAGCGAACAGG